rnacentral:rRNA from 1 species
CAGCAGCCACGGUAAUACGGAGGGUGCAAGCGUUACUCGGAAUCACUGGGCGUAAAGGACGCGUAGGCGGAUUAUCAAGUCUCUUGUGAAAUCUAACGGCUUAACCGUUAAACUGCUUGGGAAACUGAUAAUCUAGAGUAAGGGAGAGGCAGAUGGAAUUCUUGGUGUAGGGGUAAAAUCCGUAGAGAUCAAGAAGAAUACCCAUUGCGAAGGCGAUCUGCUGGAACUUAACUGACGCUAAUGCGUGAAAGCGUGGGGAGCAAACAGGAUUAGAUACCCCAGUAGUCCCUGUCUCUUAUAC